CGUGAUUUGGGCUAUAUUACGGACCCAAAAUUACUUGUUCAAGCAUUGUUUUCGAAUUUUUUCAUGCAUCAAAGCUCGUUAAGACUAGAUGGGGUAUCCCUACAUAGCGGGUGGGACCCACGGCGAAUGGUUCAUCAAGUCUUCAAAAAAGAAUAUAUACGAUUGCAUUGCAUAUACUAACGGAUGCGAUCAUACCAGCACUAAUGCACCGGAUCCCAUCAGAACUCUGCAGUUAAGCGUGCUUGGGCGAGAGUAGUACUAGGAUGGGUGACCUCCCGGGAAGUCCCCGUGUUGCAUCCCUCUUUUAUGUUUAACCUUUUUUUUUUUGGUUAAAACUUUAUGACUCCAUAACUUUUAGACCGUGAGGCCAAACUUGGCAUGUGAUACCUUUUCGGAAAGCCCAAAGACAGCCCUCCGACGAAAGAAGCAGGACAAUGGAACUUUUCCAUUGACGUUUUGUCGACCCCAAAUUUUGACCUUUAAAUACUUUUUCGGG
rnacentral:rRNA from 1 species